UAACUCGGUAGGUGAGGCAAUAUAGGGAUACGGGUUGCUACCGCAAAAUAGUGGAGACACUAUGAGAGGGUUAGCAGAACAUGUCGAAUAAAAAUGAAGGCAUAUUCUAAUGCAACUACACAGCCCUUUAAUUUGCUAAAGCUUGUACGGUGA
rnacentral:sRNA from 1 species